ACCAAACGCGCCUCAUCUCCCUCUCUCUCUUCCCUUUUAGCUAAACCCUAGCGCCUCCUCCUCCCCCCUUUCUCUCUCCUAGUCCAAAAAUGGCAAAAUUUUAGAUUUUGCAGAGAUUGCACAGUGCUGGUGCGUCCUUAAGCGCGAAACAAUUAAUGCUCACUCUCAUUCUUGUUAAAAUUCAUCCCAAACAUGGUAUUAAGCAUCUGCUUUUACUCUUUUCUUCAAAUUCUAGGUCAAACCUGCAAUUUUAUGUUGAUUUAAUAUCGUAUUACUUUAUUAUUUUCGUGAUUUUUUAUUGGUCUUUGAAUGUUAACUCAGAUCGACCUAAAAUAGGAUGAAUCUGGCCAUAUAGGUUGUUUUACUUUAAAUCUCAGACGUUAAAUUCGUGUAAUGAGAGUUUUCAUUUGAAAAAUGGAUUUGUACCGCAUCGUUCUAUAAAUAGAACCCCAACCUUACAAGUUGAACAAGUUUUUGACAGCCUAAAAGCUAGAAUUUUACAUCCAACUUGAAAUUUAAACUCAGUAGUAUAAUUUUAGACUUAAACUUUCUUUUAAGAGUUGAGCCUCUCAGUCUCUAAAUUUUAUUUACUCUAUCUGUGUUGCCGAGUUUGGGAUUGGAAGCAUCAAAGGCUCCAAAUUCAAUUCUGACACGGUUGCAUAAAAAAAGGCCAACCUGUUCGGAAGGCCCAACAGGCAAUUCUUUCGCAUCAUCGAGUCCGAGAAGAAAAAAGGGAAGCUAACAUAUGUAUUAAAUUCGUAGAUGGCCAAAUCAUGGGUGAAAAUGGCCAACUAGGGGUUUGGUACACCCCUAGAGUAACUUAUCUCUUCAUUUAAGCAUUUAUAUUACAAAUGUUGUAUUAAUGUGCUUGUAAAAGAAAACUUGUAUUUAGUGGAAUCCAUUGGUUAUGAACUAGUCGACUUUAGGCCCUCCAAAUGAUUUUCAAAACCCGGAUUAAGUGCAACAAGUUCAAGAUUUAAAAAACGAUUUCCGUAUGAGCUGAGCAGAAAAACUAAAAUGAUUUUCAAGAUUACGAGUACUAUGGAAUUUUCUAAACCAAAUCAAUUUUGAAACCGAGUGAUAUGUUUUUACAAGUCGAAAGAUGUGAUGGACAAAAAUUUAAAUUUGAAUGGAGUGAUCUUGGGCCAAGCUCCUGCAGUAAAAAUGAAGGAUUUCUUGGGCCAAUGCCCACCUGAAAGCACGAAACAUCUCGGGCCUAAGCCUACUUGAUUUUCAAUAAAAUAGAACAAUUUGGGUCAAAUCCCACUUCACUUUCAAAAAGAAAAGAAACAAAAGAUUGGACUAAGUCCAUUGAACCUCCUUUUCACAAAAGCAUACGGGUUUUUGGGCUCAGGCCCACUGCAAGGCAGAAGCCUGUUUUCAUACAUGCGUAAAUAUAUGUAUGUUUUCCAAAAUAAAUAAAAAUAAACAAUUUUCAUAAAUUAGACUAGUUCAAAUAACUGAAAUAUGCAUUGGUAAUAUGAGGCUUUAGGAUGAGACAUUCUAAAUGUAUUAAACAGAUUGACCCAAAAUCAUGUAUGGGAUUAAGCAUGAAUAGGAUUAUACUCACUCAUUAUAAAACAAAAUUGUUUUAUACCUUUUUGUAUUGUCCUUAUACAUAAAAGUAAACUAUUCGUAUCCGGAUAUGAUAAAUUCAAACUUAAAUAUUCCAUAUAUAAGGGGAUAUAUUUAAUUCUUCUCAAAAUUAAAUGAUAUGCAAUAAAUGGUAGAUUUUAUAAAUGCGGGAAUAAACACGAAAUAAACAGUUCAUGUAAAUACUCAUACAUUGAAAUUUGAAUAUUAACUUUAUAGUACGGAUCCUUAAUACUAGGGUGCCUAACACCUUCCCUAGGGGAUCACCAGAACCCUUACUUAGAAUUUUGAAUUACGAAGGAUUUUUCACCGAAUAUGAAUAAAACCUUCGAAACUACUUUGGCAAUUCUUUUAAAACGAAGUCCGAAAGAGCACCAAUAAGUUCGAAGUAGCUUUCCUUACUGCCCAUGAAAUGCGAACCGUUACAGAUCGCGACUCUGCUGGGGACUUAAAGGUUCCUACCAUAAGGAUUCCAAUAUAAUGUGAGUAUAUUUACUUUAACUGUUUAUGUGUUUACUUUUCCGCAAUUAUUCACUGUCAUUGCAUGCAUAUCAUAACUUUGCUUCUCUUGGCAUUUAUUUUACAUUUUGUUUCAAAGGCGACUUCGUGGAGCAUGCGGUCGUUCCUUCAGUGUAAAACAAAAAUAUUUCUUUUGGAACCGUUAUGAGGCGGGGUUGGUUUGCGGUCGUCCAACAACCCUAACGGUGCAGCCCCAGUUGUCCGCUCGAGUUCCCAGUCUUUUGUGAAAAGCCCACUCUAGUGAAAACUAGGAUAGAGCUAAGUCAAAUCGCUACUGAACUAGAGCAUUUGUACUUCGACGAGCCUUGGGUAUCUGAGACCUACCUAAGGCUCAUUAAGAAAGACCACCCUGUGUUCGGAUGGUCUAUGAUCCGAGAAACAUUGCAUUUCAUUUAUGUGCUAUGUGGAAGCAUGUUUGUGCCUAUGUGAUGAACCAUUGAUCCUAGGGGGACGAGGAAAUCUUAAGUGUGUUUUGUUUUGUAGAUGGAAUGCAGAAUCCAUUUCGACAUUGUUACCGAGGCUCCAGAAUUAUUGAGAGCUUGGUCGGAAUGGUUAGGUGAUGCUCAUCUAAGGAGAAUUAGCUGCACUCUAGGUCAUCUACCCUCUAUCAUGACAAUGAAGGGUCGCUCGGAGCUAAUAGAGGUAUUAGCCGGGUAUUGGAAUGACAAGGAAAUAUUAUUCCAUUUUGGUAAUAUCGAGAUGACUCCGACCCUAGAGGAAACUAGGGAUGCCAUAGACAAUAAUGGAACCUGCCUAAGGAGGCGACCCAAGCCAGAUCAGAAUCUGUUAUUCCCACAAAGGCCCACCAUCGACUAAAUCAUGAAGUUUCUUGCCUUAACCUAGGCGCCCUGAGCAUAAGGACCCACUGUAGCCUUUAGGGAUAUGUACCAGAGGUUCAGGAUGUGACCGGAUAUACCUUAUAUCAGAGGGAGUUCAAGAGUAGAGAAGAAUAAGAAGCUAUUAGACCUUUGGCGUUUACCAUAGCCUUACUAGGCACUGUGGUGUUACCGAAAGAUGAGUCACUGGCCAUAGACACCCAAGUGAUCUACUUGGCCGAGGCUACCUUCUAUGACAUAACCAGGGAUCAGGACACAAGAUACUUCUACUUGGCACUCAUCAUUCUGGCAGAUAUUUUUCGAGCUUUAGACAAAUGCCAGAGUCAUUUCCGAUACUUCUAAGGAUGUAAUAUGCUGUUGCAGUGGUGGAUUAUCAAAUACCUCAACAUGGAUAAAAGGGUUCGAGGUUGGAGUUGACAGAACAGAAUAAACCUCCUUGUAAAUUACUGUCCAACUCUCAGAUUUGUGUCCAAAACUAGUUGGGCUAAUUUCUUCGCUGAGUUGACUAAAGAUAGGAUCUAGUGAAUGUUCCCUGACUUCACAUCUGAAACCAUAGUAGUUCGGGGCUAGAAUUGCCCAUUCGUGAUGUUACAUCCCGUAUUUUGCACAUUCGGAAAAUUUGAAAUAAUUGUGGCUUGUAAGAGAUAAGGCCACAUUUUGAUUUUACUUAGUAUAUAAGUUGUUCAUGAGGAAUAUUGAUGCGAAAAUAUCGAGGGAGGAUAAGGGCAAAAAUUGGAAUUUUGAAAAUUUGUUUCUUGAACUACAAAUGUUAGCCAACUAGUUGGGCUAAAAAAAAAAAAAAAAGAAGAAAAUGAAAGGCCCAAUCUAUGUAGUGUGGCCGGCCAUAUAGAGCCAUGGCCAAGCCCAUGGGAAUUAAUUCAAGACAAUUAAAUAAAUAAGGGGCCAUCCAUCAUUUUCAUUCUAGAGUUUUCAAGAAAACAAAAAAAAGAAGAGAGCACAAAAAAAGAAGCCAUUCGGCUAGAGCAAGAAAAGAAAAAAAUUUUUCAAGCUCUUCAAUCUUGAUCCAAAAAUUUAUUUCUUCAUGUAUUUCUACUAAGUUCAAGGUGCUCUUCAACGUGGUAUAAUUAUUUCAACGAGAAAACUACGUUUGCGGCAAGUGGAAAGUUGAAGAAAAGGUAAGAAUUUCAUGUUCUUAUUAUGUUAUGGAAGGUUAUAUAUGUUGUAGUAUGUGGAAAUGAAUGAAAGUAUGAAAUUUGGGUGUUGUGUAGGAGUGUGUGUGAGUGUGUGUGGCCGUGUGGCAUUGUGUAUUGGAGAGGAGGUGAAUUCAUUUUAUUUAGUGUAUUAAUUGAGUUGUAAUGGCUUUUUUAUGCAAAUGGAAGAAUUCUAGUUCAAGUUAGCAUGAAAAAUUUGUUGUUGAGUUGUUGACGGAAAGUAUGUGAUUUUAUUAUAAAUUAUGUAAUUGAGGAAAUGGAGUUGUAAGAUGCAAAUUGUGGUUGUUGUUAAUGAAACUGGGAGAUAAAAAUGUGUUGUGAAUGUUUAUGUUGAAGAUUGGAGGUUUUGGGUGGAUUAUGGUUUUGGUGGAACUUUUGUAUAUUUUGUAGAAUAAUGUGAAAUGCUUUCGAAUUGUAUUUGAAUGGUCUUGAAUUAGUGAAUGAAUAUGAAAACGUUGACAUUAGUUUGAAAGUAUGAAGUUGGGGUAGAAGUUGUUGCAUUAUGUAGAAAGGAAGACUAUUUAUAUUAGAAUGUGUUUUGUAGUGAUUGUGAAUGUUGUUGGUAUUGCUGUGGGUGUUGUUGUUGAUAUUUUGGCCGAGUUAAAUUCUCGGGGAUGUUGAAUAUAUAGGGGAGAUGCUGCCCAAAUUUCUGUAAACAAGUAUGGAUUAAAAAUUGAACUUCUAAAGGCUUUUAAUUAAUGUUUGGUAAAUGUGACCAAUUGUAGAUUUUGGAGAGUUUGGAGCUUGAAUUUGGAGUAGCGUAAGAAGCGGAAAAGGUACAGACGCUCCUUGUGAUACGACGCCGGCUUAGGAUACCCGUUCUGCUGCUUGGAGUGCUCCUUUGUCCUGGAGCCCGUGUUUUUGGGUACAGACCUUUUUAUUGUAUAUAUAUUUUUGUAUUUAUGGCUGUUUAGGGGUACGGCGGGGCCCUGUCCCGUCAUCUGAUUCUGUUAUCUCUGUUAGAGGCCUGUAGACAUGUAUGUGGGUUAUGGGUCAUUGUUGGUCAAGUACGUCUGUGUGAUUUGUCGCGUGUGCCGCCCGUAUGUUAUAACAGCCUUAACGGCUUAUGUAUAUGUUUAUGUAUGUAUAGGUUUUUGUGCGAUUUGCCUUACAUCUGUAUAAAUCUGUGCGUAUUAAAUCUGGAUUAGUUAUUUGGAUGCCAACUCUGGUAGGUAGGUAUAUGUGGGUGCCUAGCUCUGGCACUAGUCACGGCCCACGGGGUUGGGUCGUGACACGUGCCAUUAGUCGGGGUUCGAGGAAUCCGUCCUUAUUAUGUAUCUCGAGUUUUAAGGAAAUUUGGUAGAAGGCAAGUGAUACCCCUAAUAGGGAACACCGAACAAUUUAUUAUCGAGCAUAUAGAACAGAAAAUUAAAAAUGCUACUACAAUCCUCAGGGAGUGGAAUGGUCGUGUGAGUUGGGGUCCAGAUACUUUUGCUCCAGAUAGGUUCGAAGCAGGGUGUUACCCAGGGUAUUAUGAGUGGUUACAGGGACACUUGGCCCGUGCAUCCAUUGCAGUACCCACACUUCAUCAUGAUGCUCGAGAAGAGGAGCAUUUGAAAGAAUGUUUUGAAAACACAGAUGAGCACUUUGCCAAGAUUUUGGAAGAAACAGACUCGGUGAUAGUCAGAAUAGAGAUGUAUCAGACACUCCUUCGUAUUCAGACCACCCUUCAGAGGGUCAAGAAGGCCAAGACAAACCAAGCCUCGAUAUCAGCCGCUGGAAGAGGACCAUAUUAAUUUACUGCUUUAUUAUAAGACCCAUGUCGGCUUCAUCAUCUUUGUAAUCCCUUCGGGGAAGAUAUUUUUAUUAUUUAUUA